UACGUAGGGACCGAGCGUUGUCCGGAAUCAUUGGGCGUAAAGAGCGUGUAGGCGGCUUGCUAAGUCUUGCGGGAAAUCUCGGGGCUCAACCCCGAGCGGUCGUGGGAAACUGGCAGGCUAGAGUGCGGGAGAGGAGAAUGGAAUUCCUGGUGUAGCGGUGAAAUGCGCAGAUAUCAGGAAGAACCCCCGUGGCGAAGGCGGUUCUCUGGGACGGUACUGACGCUGAGACGCGAAAGCGUGGGGAGCGAACAGG
rnacentral:rRNA from 1 species